GAUUGGUGCAGCUGGCAGCUCCGGCGAGCCUGCCCCAGCUCUGCAACAGAAAUGCAGGACACCCGCUGACAUGUGCAUUUUGGAUAACAACAAGUGGUGUUGCCUGACCAAGCCAAAUGAAAACCUGCAGUGCCCACCUGAGAUCCAAUUCCUCAGGAGAUUGAGUCCUGCCAUCUGGAAAUGAUGCCAUGGGCUCCUGGCAGCAAGGAUUCAGCUACCUUCAAAGUUGGUCAACACUUGACAUUUCCAUUAAAGGACAUGGUUGCACCUUCCUAAGGGGACUGCAGAAGUAACUCCAGAAACACCCCUCCUUGCAAAUGGAAGAAAUUAUGCAUGCUCUUCACGUAAGGUGACAGAAAUGCUAGGGGAGAAAGAAUCUGAGUUUGAGAGGAGUUACUCCAGGAUCUGCUUAAUGAAACUGUGAGCCAGUUUCCUCACCUAUAAAGUAUGAAUUAUGCCAUGGACCUAAUGUUCUGGAUUGAUUGCAAGAAACAAAUACAGUAAGUGGGCAGUUCAGACAUGAAUUAAACGUGGCUGUUCACCCAGGAUUCAAGUCCAGUUUCCCAGAGCAGUGAGGAGCAGAAAGAAUCGUCACCUGAAUUCACUCCUUCCAGCACCUCCGGCUGCUGGGAUCACGUCCGGAAAUAAACGGUCUCCAUAUAAACACAUUUCUCAGGCUCUCUGCUUGAAGAUGCUCACAUUCUACAGGACCUUACCUGGUUCCUGUGAGUCCUGAGCCCUCAGUUUCCGUGGAGAGAAUCCACUCACUUACUGACAUCCUGCCCCGCCAUGAUGAGAAGCAGACCCAGCUUCUCUGCUGUGGUAAUGAAAACUCCUUCAGAUGCUCCCCACGUUGUAGAUAUUUGUGGAUAUCUGUUGUCUGUGGCUGGCUCAUCUACCAUUCCCUUGGACUUUCCUAGUUGCCCUCUUCUGAUUCCUGUAUUGUUAUUUCAGCUGGGGUGCACUGAAAUAUACAAUAACCAAAAUUUUAAAAUGUGGAGAUGGGCUCAAUAGCAGGAUAGCGAUGACAGCGAAGAUUCAGUGAACUUGAGGAUAAAACAAAAAUUACCAAUCUGAGCAAGAGAAAGGAAACAGACAUUAAAAAAAAAAAACACAGCUUCAGGUGUCAGUGGGACUAUAACAGAAGAUCAAAUGUUUGCCCUUUUUUGCAUCUUUUGAAAUAUUCAUAUGGUAUUUCUCCCCUUUGUGGUGGUGGUGUUGAUACGGUGAAUGACAUUGAUUUAUCUUUUGAAUGCAAGGCCUAUCUUGCCUAUCUUGAUGACAAUUAUACAAUUAUCCUUGUUAUUGUUGGAUUUUAUUUGCUAG